GAUGAAUGCUGGCGGCGUGCCUAAUACAUGCAAGUCGAGCGAAUGGAUUAAGAGCUUGCUCUUAUGAAGUUAGCGGCGGACGGGUGAGUAACACGUGGGUAACCUGCCCAUAAGACUGGGAUAACUCCGGGAAACCGGGGCUAAUACCGGAUAACAUUUUGAACCGCAUGGUUCGAAAUUGAAAGGCGGCUUCGGCUGUCACUUAUGGAUGGACCCGCGUCGCAUUAGCUAGUUGGUGAGGUAACGGCUCACCAAGCAACGAUGCGUAGCCGACCGGAGAGGGUGAUCGGCCACACUGGGACUGAGAACCGGCCCAGACUCCUACGGGAGGGAGCAGUAGGGAAUCUUCCGCAAUGGACGAAAGUCUGACGGAGCAACGCCGCGUGAGUGAUGAAGGCUUUCGGGUCGUAAAACUCUGUUGUUAGGGAAGAACAAGUGCUAGUUGAAUAAGCUGGCACCUUGACGGUACCUAACCAGAAAGCCACGGCUAACUACGUGCCAGCCGCCGCCGUAA
rnacentral:rRNA from 1 species